UGGGGAAUAUUGGACAAUGGGCGCAAGCCUGAUCCAGCCAUGCCGCGUGAGUGAUGAAGGCCCUAGGGUUGUAAAGCUCUUUCACCGGUGAAGAUAAUGACGGUAACCGGAGAAGAAGCCCCGGCUAACUUCGUGCCAGCAGCCGCGGUAAUACGAAGGGGGCUAGCGUUGUUCGGAUUUACUGGGCGUAAAGCGAACGUAGGCGGACUUUUAAGUCAGGGGUGAAAUCCCGGGGCUCAACCCCGGAACUGCCUUUGAUACUGGAAGUCUUGAGUAUGGUAGAGGUGAGUGGAAUUCCGAGUGUAGAGGUGAAAUUCGUAGAUAUUCGGAGGAACACCAGUGGCGAAGGCGGCUCACUGGACAAUUACUGACGCUGAGGUGCGAAAGCGUGGGGAGCAAACAGG
rnacentral:rRNA from 1 species